GUGGGUUCUGUCCCGGAGGUUCCAGCGCGCUGGGAGGGGAAUUACAACCGCGUGCAGCUUGGGUAGUUUCAUGUCACGUGGUUCCUCCGCAGACAGACCUCUCUUAGCUACCCAGGCCAGCCCCUGGGAGCCCAGCAUGAAACUGUGAUAAGUUUUAGGCACAUGCUCAGCUGAACUGUGUAAAAACAUGACCCUGGUUCUGAGCCACAAACAUGGCCCCAAACACCUGCCCAAUAUGCUGGUGCCUGCAAAGGACACCUACAAGACCAUUGGUGAUCCACACAGCUGCUGAGGAAGUGAAUGGAAGGAAGGGAUAGGGCUGUUCAGAAGGUGUGCUAUCUGGUCUAGCUGUCACUUGUGGACAUUGAUAUUUUAGACCCAUGAGUGUCCCUAUGGCUCCUUAUUACAUCCGCAAAUACCAGGAGAGUGACCGAAAACCAGUCGUGGAUUUGUUCUUCAAGGGCAUGGUGGAGCACAUCCCUACCACAUUCCGCC